rnacentral:lncRNA from 1 species
AAAUAUCUAACAUCAAACAUAGUCAUGCAUAAAUAUUAAGUUUCGAUGUCAUAUACAUACAUAUUAGUUCAAAUUACAAACAUAAACAUGCUAGACCGAAUUAAACAAGUAAACAUACUCGUCAAAUAACAAACAUAGUCUGAACUCAAAUUUUGAAUAUAGUCAAACCAUCUUAGCAAGUAGGCCUGUAGUAGUGUUGGUUCACAA